rnacentral:rRNA from 1 species
GAUGAACGCUGGCGGCGUGCCUAAUACAUGCAAGUCGAGCGAAAAGACGAGGAGCUUGCUCCUCUGACGUUGGCGGGGGGCGGGUGAGUAACACGUGCAUAACAUACCUAUAAGACUGGGAUAACUACGGGAAACCGGAGCUAAUACUGGGUAAUAUAUGCAACCGGAGGGUUCAAUAGUUAAGGAGGGUUUUGAUGUAACUUAUAGAUGGAUGCGCGCUGCAUUGGUAGGUUGGUAAGGUAACGGCUUACCAAGGCAACGAUGCGUAGCCGACCUGAGAGGGUGAUCGGCCACACUGGAACUGAGACACGGCCCAGACUCCUACGGGAGGCAGCAGUAGGGAAUCUUCGGCAAUGGGCGAAAGCCUGACGGAGCAACGCCGCGUGGGUGAUGAAGGUCUUCGGAUCGUAAAACUCUCUUAUUAGGGAAGAACAAAUGCGUAAGUAACUAUGCACGUCUUGACGGUACCUAAAGAGAAAGCACCGGCUAACUACGUG